rnacentral:rRNA from 1 species
AAAAAAGCCUUCUAUGUGUUGAAUUUCUAGUACCCGUACCCCAAACCGACACAGGUGGGUGGGUAGAGCAUACCUAGGGGCGCGUGAUAACUCUCUCUAAGGAACUCGGCAAAAUGGCCCUGUAACUUCGGGAUAAGGGGUGCCUGCGUGAGCAGGCCGCAGUGAAAUGGCUCUGGCGACUGUUUACCAAAAACACAGGUCUCUGCUAAGUCGUAAGACGAUGUAUAGGGGCUGACUCCUGCCCAGUGCCGGAAGGUUAAGGAAGUUGGUUAGCGCAAGCGAAGCUGGCGACCGAAGCCCCGGUGAACGGCGGCCGUAACAAUAACGGUCCUAAGGUAGCGAAAUUCCUUGUCGGGUAAGUUCCGACCCGCACGAAAGGAGUAACGAUCAGAGCGCUGUCUCGGAGAGAGACACGGCGAAAUAGGAUUGUCCGUGAAGAUACGGACUACCUGCACCCGGACAGAAAGACCCUAUGAAGCCUUACUGUAACUUGGAAUUGUGUUCGGACUUUGUCUGCGCAGAAUAGGUGGGAGGCUAUGAAACGUUCCUCGCGGGGAACUGGAGCCAUCGUUGAGAUACCACUCUGGCAGAGUCUGGAUUCUAACCUACGGGGACAGUUCCAGGUGGGCAGUUUGACUGGGGCGGUCGCCUCCUAAAAUGUAACGGAGGCGCGCAAAGGUUCCCUCAGGCUGGUUGGAAAUCAGCCAUAGAGUGUAAAAGCAUAAGGGAGCUUGACUGUGAGACCUACAAGUCGAGCAGGGACGAAAGUCGGCUUUAGUGAUCCGACGGCACUGAGUGGAAGGGCCGUCGCUCAACGGAUAAAAGUUACUCUAGGAUAACAGGCUGAUCUCCCCCAAGAGUUCACAUCGACGGGGAGGUUUGGCACCUCGAUGUCGGCUCGUCGCAACCUGGGGCGGUAGUACGUCCCAAGGGUUGGGCUGUUCGCCCAUUAAAGCGGCACGUGAGCUGGGUUCAGAACGUCGUGAGACAGUUCGGUCCAUAUCCGGUGUAGGCGUAGGAGCAUUGAAAGGAUCUCUCCUUAGUACGAGAGGACCGGGAGGGACGUACCUCUGGUGUACCUGUUAUCGUGCCAACGGUAAACGCAGGGUAGCCAUGUACGGAGUGGAUAACCGCUGAAAGCAUCUAAGUGGGAAGCCCACCUUAAGAUGAGUGCUCCCUUGAGGCCACGGGAAGACGACCCGUUUGAUAGGCGCUAGGUGGAAGUGCAGUAAUGCAUGCAGCCGAGGCGUACUAAUAGGCCGAUGGC